UGGCGGACGGGUGAGUAACGCGUGGAAAACCUGCCGUAUACUGGGGGAUAACACUUAGAAAUAGGUGCUAAUACCGCAUAAGCGCACAGCUUCGCAUGAAGCGGUGUGAAAAACUCUGGUGGUAUACGAUGGUUCCGCGUCUGAUUAGCUAGUUGGUGGGGUAACGGCCUACCAAGGCAACGAUCAGUAGCCGGCCUGAGAGGGUGAACGGCCACAUUGGGACUGAGACACGGCCCAAACUCCUACGGAAGGCAGCAG
rnacentral:rRNA from 1 species